AUGCUUAGCCGUAAAACAUACACUCACACCACAAAUCGCCAGGGAAUUACGAGCCCAAACUUAAAACCCAAAGGACUUGACGGUGUCCCACCCACCUAGAGGAGCCUGUUCUAUAAUCGAUACCCCCCGAUAAACCUCACCACUUCUAGCCUAUCAGCCUGUAUACCUCCGUCGUAAGCUUACCAUGUGAACGAAACUAGUGAGCCAAAGGAUCCACCACCAAUACGUCAGGUCAAGGUGCAGCUUACGAACUGGAAAGAAAUGGGCUACAAUUUCUAUAGUAGAACAAACGAAAGACUGCAUGAAACACAGUCACUGAAGGCGGAUUUAGCAGUAAAAAGAAAAUAGAGAGUCCUUUUUAACAAGGCACUGGGACGCGUACACA
rnacentral:rRNA from 1 species